rnacentral:rRNA from 1 species
UGGGGAAUAUUGGACAAUGGGGGGAACCCUGAUCCAGCCAUGCCGCGUGUGUGAAGAAGGCCUUAUGGUUGUAAAGCACUUUAAGCAGUGAAGAAUACAUCAUGGCUAAUAUCCGUGAUGAAUGACAUUAGCUGCAGAAUAAGCACCGGCUAACUCUGUGCCAGCAGCCGCGGUAAUACAGAGGGUGCGAGCGUUAAUCGGAAUUACUGGGCGUAAAGCGAGCGUAGGUGGUUUAUUAAGUCAAAUGUGAAAUCCCUGGGCUUAACCUAGGAACUGCAUCUGAUACUGACAAACUAGAGUAGGUGAGAGGAAAGUAGAAUUCCAGGUGUAGCGGUGAAAUGCGUAGAGAUCUGGAGGAAUACCGAUGGCGAAGGCAGCUUUCUGGCAUCAUACUGACACUGAGGUUCGAAAGCGUGGGUAGCAAACAGGAUUAGAUACCCUGGUAGUCCACGCCGUAAACGAUGUCUACCAGUCGUUGGGUCUUUUAAAGACUUAGUGACGCAGUUAACGCGAUAAGUAGACCGCCUGGGGAGUACGGCCGCAAGGUUA